rnacentral:rRNA from 1 species
UUUUGCCUACGGGACGCAGCAGUAGGGAAUUUUCGUCAAUGGGCGCAAGCCUGAACGAGCAAUGCCGCGUGAACGAGGAAGGUCUUCGGAUCGUAAAGUUCUGUUGAAGGGGAAAAAGAGCGGAGAGAGGAAAUGAACUCCGAUUGAUAUUACCCUUCGAGGAAGUCACGGCUAACUACGUGCCAGCAGCCGCGGUAAUACGUAGGGAGCGAGCGUUGUCCGGAUUUACUGGGUGUAAAGGGUGCGUAGGCGGGUAAGCAAGUCAGAAGUGAAAUCCAUGGGCUUAACCCAUGAAC